GGAGUCUAGCAUGUGCGCGAGUCGUUGGGUAAAUGGAGUCUGAACACAGACUCCAAAAUGCUAAACCUAUAGGCGAAAUGAAAGUGAAAGUCCGCCUCGCGCGGACCUAGGGAGGAUGGGCCGGCCCACGUGUCGGCCCCGCACUCCCGGGGCGUUUCCGCACGCUCGGCCACAAGUCGAGCGGGGGGCGCACCCAGAGCGUACACGCUGGGACCCGAAAGAUGGUGAACUAUGCCUGGUCAGGACGAAGUCAGGGGAAACCCUGAUGGAGGUCCGUAGCGAUUCUGACGUGCAAAUCGAUCGUCGGAACUGGGUAUAGGGGCGAAAGACUAAUCGAACCAUCUAGUAGCUGGUUCCCUCCGAAGUUUCCCUCAGGAUAGCUGGCGCUCAUCACAGAGCGAGUCUCAUCUGGUAAAGCGAAUGAUUAGAGGCAUUGGGGUCGAAACGGCCUCAACCUAUUCUCAAACUUUAAAUGGGUGAGAACUCCGGCUUGCUUAAAUGUUGAAGCCGCGAGAUACAAAAAUGCACACAGGAUCAGAGUGCCAAGUGGGCCACUUUUGGUAAGCAGAACUGGCGCUGUGGGAUGAACCAAACGCAGAGUUAAAGCGCCCAAAUCGAAGCUUAUGGGAUACCAUGAAAGGCGUUGGUAACUUAAGACAGCAGGACGGUGGCCAU
rnacentral:rRNA from 1 species